UACGGAGGGGACUAGCGUUGUUCGGAAUUACUGGGCGUAAAGCGCACGUAGGCGGAUUUGUAAGUCAGGGGUGAAAUCCCGGGGCUCAACCUCGGAACUGCCUUUGAUACUGCAAAUCUCGAGUCCGGAAGAGGUGAGUGGAAUUCCUAGUGUAGAGGUGAAAUUCGUAGAUAUUCGGAGGAACACCAGUGGCGAAGGCGGCUCACUGGUCCAUUACUGACGCUGAGGUGCGAAAGCGUGGGGAGCAAACAGG
rnacentral:rRNA from 1 species